rnacentral:rRNA from 1 species
UACGUAGGGGGCUAGCGUUGUCCGGAUUUACUGGGCGUAAAGAGCGCGCAGGCGGUUGGAUAAGUCGAAUGUGAAAGCCCCCGGCUCAACUGGGGAGGGUCAUUCGAUACUGUCCGACUCGAAGGCAGGAGAGGGAAGCGGAAUUCCCGGUGUAGUGGUGAAAUGCGUAGAUAUCGGGAGGAACACCAGUGGCGAAGGCGGCUUUCUGGCCUGUUCUUGACGCUGAGGUGCGAAAGCCAGGGGAGCAAACGGG